rnacentral:rRNA from 1 species
UAAUACGUAGGUGGCAAGCGUUAUCCGGAAUUAUUGGGCGUAAAGCGCACGCAGGCGGCCCGCUAAGACUGACGUGAAAUUUCCCGGCUUAACUGGGAAGGGUCGUUGGUGACUGGCAGGCUUGAGGUAAUGAGAGGGGUGCAGAAUUCCCGGUGUAGUGGUGGAAUGCGUAGAUAUCGGGAGGAAUACCAGUGGCGAAAGCGGCACCCUGGCAUUAAGCUGACGCUCAUGUGCGAAAGCGUGGGGAGCGAACGGGAUUAGAUACCCCGGUAGUCCACGCUGUAAACGAUGAACACUAGGUGUGGGCGGUGUUAGAACCGUCUGUGCCGAAGCCAACGCGUUAAGUGUUCCGCCUGGGGAGUACGGCCGCAAGGCUA